rnacentral:rRNA from 1 species
AGUCGAGCGACAGACGAGGAGCUUGCUCCUCUGACGUUAGCGGCGGACGGGUGAGUAGCACGUGGAUAACCUACCUAUAAGACUGGGAUAGCUUCGGGAAACCGGAGCUAAUACCGGAUAAUAUAUUGAACCGCAUGGUCCAAUAGUGAAAGACGGUUUUGCUGUCACUUAUAGAUGGAUCCGCGCCGCAUUAGCUAGUUGGUAAGGUAACGGCUUACCAAGACAACGAUGCGUAGCCGACCUGAGAGGGUGAUCGGCCACACUGGAACUGAGACACGGUCCAGACUCCUACGGGAGGCAGCAGUAGGGAAUCUUCCGCAAUGGGCGAAAGCCUGACGGAGCAACGCCGCGUGAGUGAUGAAGGUCUUCGGAUCGUAAAACUCUGCUACUAGGGAAGAACAAAUGUGUAAGUAACUAUGCACGUCUUGACGGUACCUAAUCAGAAAGCCACGGCUAACUACGUGCCAGCAGCCGCGGUAAUACGUAGGCGGCAAGCGUUAUCCGGAAUUAUUGGGCGUAAAGCGCGCGUAGGUGGUUUUUUAAGUCUGAUAUGAAAGCCCACGGCUCAACCGUGGAGGGUCAUUGGAAACUGGAAAACUUGAGUGCAGAAGAGGAAAGUGGAAUUCCAUGUGUAGCGGUGAAAUGCGCAGAGAUAUGGAGGAACACCAGUGGCGAAGGCGACUUUCUGGUCUGUAACUGACGCUGAUGUGCGAAAGCGUGGAGAUCAAACAGGAUUAGAUACCCUGGUAGUCCACGCCGUAAACGAUGAGUGCUAAGUGUUAAGGGGUUUCCGCCCCUUAGUGCUGCAGCUAACGCAUUAAGCACUCC